GUCCCAGUGGCCGAGUGGUUAAGGCGAUGCCCUGCUAAGGCAUUGGGCUAUGCCUUCGCAGGUUCGAAUCCUGUCUGUGACG